CAGCAGCCGCGGUAAUACGUAGGCAGCAAGCGUUGUUCGGAGUUACUGGGCGUAAAGAGUGCGUAGGCGGUGCCCUAAGUCUGUUGUGAAAUCUCCCGGCUUAACUGGGAGGGUGCGGUGGAAACUGGGGUGCUUGAGAGUGGGAGAGGUUAGCGGAAUUCCUGGUGUAGCGGUGAAAUGCGUAGAUAUCAGGAGGAACACCGGUGGUGUAGACGGCUGACUGGACCACGACUGACGCUGAGGCACGGAAGCGUGGGUAGCAAACAGGAUUAGAUACCCUGGUAGUCCACGCCCUAAACGAUGCAUACUUGGUGUGAGCCAUUCAUUUGGUUCGUGCCGGAGCUAACGCGUUAAGUAUGCCGCCUGGGGAGUACGGUCGCAAGGCUGAAACUCAAAUAAAUUGACGG
rnacentral:rRNA from 1 species